rnacentral:rRNA from 1 species
AACGAACGCUGGCGGCAUGCCUAACACAUGCAAGUCGAACGAGACCUUCGGGUCUAGUGGCGCACGGGUGCGUAACGCGUGGGAACCUGCCCUUAGGUUCGGAAUAACUCCCCGAAAGGGGUGCUAAUACCGGAUAAUGUCUUCGGACCAAAGAUUUAUCGCCUUUGGAUGGGCCCGCGUUGGAUUAGCUAGUUGGUAGGGUAAAAGCCUACCAAGGCGACGAUCCAUAGCUGGUCUGAGAGGAUGAUCAGCCACACUGGGACUGAGACACGGCCCAGACUCCUACGGGAGGCAGCAGUGGGGAAUAUUGGACAAUGGGCGAAAGCCUGAUCCAGCACGGCCGCGUGAGUGAUGAAGGCCUUAGGGUUGUAAAGCUCUUUUAUCCGGGAUGAUAAUGACAGUACCGGGAGAAUAAGCUCCGGCUAACUCCGUG